rnacentral:rRNA from 1 species
AUACUAGAACGGUACAAUUUUAUGAUCCCAGGCUGGUUAAGAAAGUCAAAUAUUAGCC